GUGGCUCAGUGGUAGAGUGCUUGCCUUGAAUGCAUAAGGCCCUGGGUUCGAUUCCUCAGC
rnacentral:tRNA from 1 species